AGUGGGAUUACUGGGUCAAAUGGUGGUUCCACUCUGAGUUUUCUGAGAAAUAUUGAUACUGUUCUCCAUAGUGGUUGUACAAAUUGCAGUCCCACCAGCAAU
rnacentral:pre_miRNA from 1 species